GGGAGCCGUAUGCAGUGAAAGUUGCACGUACGGUUCGGAGGAAGCGUUCUGGUAAGACAAGGAUCGUGUCGAAAAAAGUCCGGUCGCCAUCGGAGCUGGUCUGCCAUCCUAC
rfam:Chaetomium thermophilum var. thermophilum strain DSM 1495 mitochondrion, complete genome.